AUGUGAGGGGUGAUAUGAGGAAGGGGCAGGAGCCAGAGCUUCCACUAGAAGCUCAAAAGGCAAGAAAGCACAUUCUCCCCCAGAGCUUCCAAGAGGAACACAGCCCUGCUGCUGGUGCCUUGAUUGCAGACUUCUCCAGGACCGUGGGAUGAUGAAUUUGUGUUAUUUUCAGUCACCAGAUUUGGGGGCAUUCAUUCCAACACCAACAGGAAGCAGGAGGGCAAGGCACCCGGUUCCCAUUUCAGAUGGCAGACUACACCCACAAGGUCAAGCAAACCUCCUGAAGGAAGAACCCAGAGACCAGAGCUCUUGGUCAACCAGAGGGUUCAACUAUACAGCACACCCUGUAGCAUACCCCUUUAUGUGUCAAGCACUGGGCCAGACACCAGGCUGCACAGAAUAAUAAGGUAUGGUCCUUGCCCUUGGUG
rnacentral:lncRNA from 1 species